UUUAAAGAGAGCUUGCCUGCUCCAAUACAAAAAGAAAAAAGAAAAGAAAACAAAACAAAAACCAUCUUAUGUACUGCUGGCUUCCAGGGCUGUAGAGGCCAUUAUUCAUAGACUAGACUUUUUUUUCCCUGUUAGUUUCUAGUAUUCAGAUAUAUUAAGGCAGCAACAUAGGUUUAAUUUUUCUGGAUAAUAUCCAACAUAGAAUGUUCUUGUAAGUGCCUUUGUGCCCAGGUAAUUAUCAUCAUAAAGUUAAGUAAUAUGUCUCUUCUUUUUUCUGGCCUUUUUUCACUCAUCCUUUGAAUGUCAAAUUACGUGUGUGUGUGUGUGUGUGUGUGUGUGUGUGUGUGUGUGUGUGUGUGUAAUGCUUCCACUAGAUGCAAAGCAGCUAAAUUUGAAUCACACGAAGGCGAUGCUAAAAGCAAGAAAUUCUGAGUUAAUAUGGUCAUUCUACUUAACUCUUCCUGUCGGAAAGCAAAUUUGCAGGGAGGAAAAUGUGGAGGAAGAGCAUCAUUAAGGAUAAUGUCAUAUUGACUUUGGCCUUCUGGAUGCAAUGAUUUUUGCAGGUUUUAAGAAAAAUGUGUCAAUGCAUAUGUGCAUAUAUACUUCUUAUUGCUUGUUUGUUUCUGCAGAGGGAUGCUUUCUGUGGCAGAAAUAGCAGACAGAGUGGAAACUGGAGCCCCUGGCUUGGGAGCCAGGGGCUGGUGAAGGGAAUUAGAUACUACAAGAAGAAUAUGGACAAUGCAAUAACUCCAACGACCCACAGUGGAUUGGAAGACUUCUUAAUUGCAUGGUGUGGCUCUUGAGUCUCCUAACAUACACAUGUAGGGUGUCCCCUUCUUCCUCAAACCAAUCCCCUUCAUGCUCCCAAGAUGGCUGCUGGUAGCUCCCAGGAGACCACAUCCAGAGGAUAUUUUCAUCUCAGCAUCCACUUGGAGAGUCCUGGAGUUCUUUCUGACUGGGCUAUCUUUGGUCAUGUGGUCAUAGCUGAAUCAAUGAAUAGGCUCAUGGGCUUAGCUUAGAUUGCUGGUCCUGCCCCUGGAGCUGAUGUCACAGUCAUAGUUCCUGGGUACAUGAGGACCUCAAAUGGGAGCCCAGAGAAGCUUCAGAUGGUGUGUGUGUGUGUGUGUGUGUGUGUGUGUGUGUGUGUGUGUGUGUGUGUACGUGUCUAUACAAGUUUGUGUGUGUGCAUGUGCAUUUGUAAGUGGGGCACUCAUUCACAUGUGUGACCAUGCAGGUGGAGGCCAGAGGACAGCCUCAGGUAUGGCUCUUUAGGAGACAUCUGCCUUGUUUAUGUGAGUCAGGGCCUCUCAGGCAGAUGUGGGACUCUCCAGGAUAUUCCAGGGAUCUACCUGUCUCUACAUCUCUAGUUGUGGGAUUACAGGUGUGUGCAACAUUCCUAGAUUUUUAUGUGGGUUCUGUGGGAUUAAACUUGAAUCCUUGUGCUUAUAAAACAAGCACUUUAUGGGCUCAGCUUCCUCUCAACACUGAAGUUCCAGACAUGUACCAGAGACAGGCAGCUGGUCCGUGCUUCCUGAAGGUAAUUACUGACAGAUCUUGGAUUGAACCCAGGUAGCCUCCUUCCAAGGCUUUUCCUCUGAACCGUUGUCCUUCUGGCACCUCCUUGCUCUUAGAGCUCCUUCUGUUUCUUUACGGAAAACGUCACUCUGACUUUAGUGACAAUAACUUUUGGUGGCAAAACACCAAUUCCAGAAAACCACAGGAAAUGUGGUCUUAUGGUGUGAAAUGGUGGAAAGGGCCAAGAACAGAGACCCAGUCUCCUGAUUAAACUUGGACAGGUCACUUCCUCUUCCCAGGGCCUCCACCUUCCUCACUGGCAAAUGGAAAGCAGUGGGUUCUUCCUCCAACAAACCUAUGCAGAGAUCAAGCAAGACAGUGCUGUGUGAAAGAGUCCCCAAAUAUUUGUUUGUACUAAACAAUCUCUACGUGGGACAUCUCUGCCUCUUUUGUUCCACGUAUGAGAAACUGACAUGAAAAGUCUUUCAUUUACGCCUCCAACAGAUUUUAUUCAACAAAUCUUCUCAUUGAUACAGUCUGUCAACAUUGCCUCCAAAGAAAGGCAAAGAUCUUCAGGAGCACUCUGUGAAACCUGUGCCAAGGCUGAGGUAGGAUGUGCAUUCAUAAGAAGCUCUUAGCUUCCUCUUGUGGAGGUGGAAUGAUUAUGUAUGUAAAUGUUAUUCUACUUUUAAUUAAACUACAGCCUCAUUGAAAUGGAAGGUGGAAAGAUCCCGGACCUGUUCCAUGUCUAGAUGUAAUGUACCUUUGAGGUAGGAAAAAAAAUGUGGGGACACAGUUGGAAUCAGAUGUGGGGCUCCCCCACCCCAUUAUCUGCCUUCUCUGUGGCUUUAUUAUGAGUGAAGACAGGCCAAUGAAGUCAUGCUGUCAACAGAAUGAAGGAGUCUCCCAAAGAUCUGACAUUGCUUCUCCAAGGGAUUGUUUCAAGGGUGGUCCAAGAGCUUUUAGGAAUCCUAUGCUCUUGGUCUAAGAGGGUCAUGGGUGACCACAAAGGUGGAAUACAUAGGCAGUCCAAUGGUAUCCUGUGCGCUUGCUGCUUUUCUUUAUUUUACAAUUAUUGAACCAACUGUGUGCCAGGCACUGGACUCUAUACUAGGGGUCUAGAUAGCAAUGAACAGACAAAUGACAACCCUUGACCUCCAGGGAGGUGUCAGUCCCAUAGAGAGACUUGAGUGUCACCAGAUCUUGUCACAGUGAGAUAGUAAAUAAGCCUCCCUUGCAAUCCUGAGACAAGAUGGAAAGUGUUAAUUUGUGACCGUGCCUUUGGAGAUAUGGGUCAAGGACUGGAUGGACAAGGCCUCUGGAGGUGUGCCAAGAGCUCCAACUCAUCCCUGCCAUUCAGUGAAGGUCUUGGUUAGUAUUCUAUCUGUGCCAUCCACAUCUAGCUUCCUGCAGCUCCUUGAAGAUAACAACUCUCCUCUUCCUGACCUCUGACCACAUAUUUUGUCUGCCCCAAAUGUGUCUCCAAUUCUGCCACCAGUUCACUACCCUCCCAACUCUGUCAUCUCCAAACAUCAGGGUACUGCUGGACAACCCUGAACUCUCAGGUCUAGGUUGGGGUACGCCUAUACAAUGCUCCCUAUUCUUCAUUGUUGUAAUAAGUUCUAAAUCAGCUGUCUUCUGCCUCACUAGAUUUUGGCCUCUAGUCUGACUCAGACAGUUCUGUCUUGGUCAAGAGUCUAUCUGUUCUGAUUAGUUUAACAUCAGCUUGACAAAAGCUGGAGUUAUGUGAAAGGAAGACCCUCAAUUGAGAAAAUGCCUCCAUAAGAUUCAGCUGUAGAGUAUUUUCUUAAUUAGCAAUUGAAGAGAGAGGACCUAGCCCAUUGCGGAUGGUGUCGUCCCUGGACUGGUGGUCCUGGGUUCUGUAAGAAAGCAGGCUGAGUAAACCAUGGAGAGCAAGUCCAUGAGUAGCCUCCUCCAUGGCCUCUGCAUCAGCUACUGCCUCCAGGUCCUUACCCUGUUUGAGUCUUCUACUCUCCUGACUUCCUUCGAUGAUAGACUAUGAUGUAGGAGAGUAAGUGAAAUAAACCCUUUCCUCCCCAACUUGCCUUUGGUCAUGGUGUUUCAUCACAGCAAUAGGAACACUAAGACACCAUCCAGUAUCUAGUAUGGCACGUAUCAGACUCAUACUUGCUGAUCGGUUAGCAGGUUCAUUUUUUGGUUAUAACACUGAAUUGCAUUCUGAGUCCAAUAUCUAUUUGAGCUCUUGUGUCCCUUAACGCUUAUGACAGCUUCUGUCUUGAAACUUGUGCCUCUUCCCUGCGAGUCUCUGACAAUGUGCAUUUGUUGUUGGCUUUCUGAGCACUGAUCAUCCCAUACUCUCUCAUAUACCCCUCCCUGCUUUCUAAAACCCAAUUCACAGCCUCUGUUUUCUUUUCUUACAAGCCAAAUUGUUAUUGCAUGUACACACACAUAUGUGUGUGUGUGUGUGUGUGUGUGUGUGUGUGUGUGUGUGUGUGUGUGUGUGUGUGUGUAUGUAUGCCACCAGAUCUCCUGGCACCAGAAUUACAGAUGGUUGUAAGCUGCUACAUGGGUCCUGGGAAUCAAAGCAGGGUCGUUUGGAAGAGCAGCAACUGUUCUUACCCAUUGAGCGGACUCCCCAGAACCAUUGUUUGUGUUUUUAAUGGUAGGUAUUCCGACUGGGGUGAGAUGAGAUCUGCUUUGAUUCCUCUGAUGAUAAUAGAUCUACUAGUAUUGUUUGUGUCCUUUUGGUUUGGUUUUGGGAGCUCAUAUGCAUUUAUAAAUUUAGUCAUUUCUUCCUGGCUUUUCAACUUAAUCAUAAUUAUAAGUUUUCAAAUAACCUAUGUUUUAUUGGUAAUUGUUAUAAUAAUUCCUUUUCACCUUUAGUUUAUUUAUUUAGGUCUUCUUUAUCUUUAAUUCCUUGUUUUCUUCUUUUUGAAUUUCUGUUGAUUAAUCAUCUGUCAAUUUUGUUUAUCGUUUUGAAACCAGCUCAUUGUUUCAUUGAUUGUUUUGUAUUGUUCAUUUAGACUCCAUUUAAUUAAUUUCUUGUCUGGUGAUUUUUAAAAUUAUUUUCACAUGUUAAUUUUUGAAUUUUGUUUGUUCUCGUCUAAGACCUUGAAAUACAUCAUUAAGUUAUUUAUUUAGGUCAGGUGGUGGCGGCACUCACCUUUAUUCCCAGCACUCAGGAGGCAGAGGCAGGUGGAUCUCAUUUUGAGGCUAGCCUGGUCUACAGAGUGAGUUCCAGGACAGCCAUGGCUACACAGAGAAACCCUGUCUUGGGGGAAAAAGUUAUUUAACAUCUGUUUGAAGUCCGUCUGAUUGUUAUUAUUACUUACUUAAUUUUUGGAGACAGGUUCUCACACAUCCCAGGUUGGCAAACAUUUUAUGCCAAGGGCAAAAUAAUACGUAGUCUAGAUUUUGCAAGCAUACAGUAUCUAUAUCUCAAUGAUUCAGCACUGUACUGACAUGUGAAACAGUCAUACAUGACACAGAAAUGAAUGAGUACCGGCUAAAACUUUAGUGAUGAACACUAAAGUUUGAAUCUCAUAUAGUUUGCACAAGUCCUGCAAUAUUGUUCUUUGUAUUAAAAAAAAACUUUAAAAAAUGUAAAACUCAGUCUGAGCUCAAAGGCCACACAAAAACAUGGCUGUGGUUUGCAAGCCCUGGUCAUAAAGAGAAACCGUUUAUGCUAAACUACCGUUGGAUGUGCCAAACCAUGCUUGAGGGAUAAUAAUUCUUAAAGGGAGAGUUAGGAAAUAGACACCUUUAAUUAUGGUACUGUGGUUACCCAAGGACUCAUUCAUAUGCUCUCCCUAUCCCAUCCCUACCAGAGACAGAAGCUUGCCAUGUAGCCCAGGUUGGACUCAAACUUGUCAUGGAGCCAAUUCUGGUCCAGAAUACUCACUUCUCAUGCUACCAUAAUGACUCUUGAGAAAUGACUGCCAUCUGCAAAACCAGAUCUUUAUGUACAACCUGCAUGCUGAGUGAGCUAUUUUUAGAUUCUUAAGAUAAUCAAACAACAUUUCAAAUAACUGGUUUUUCAAACUCUAAUGAUCAGGCAUGUGCAAGCGAGGCUUUUAGAUAUAUCAGGAUUUUGGUGAGAUGGAAAGUUGAACUUGAAUCUGGCUGGUUGCUCUGAGACAUACAUCUUAGCAAUUUCUUGGAUUUUUUUCCCUGUACCUUAGAAAUGGGAGCUAAUAGUAGGAGCUUGUGGCUGUGUGUGAGAGUCAGCAAUACAUUUUAAAAACACGGCAUGAUCUUCAUAUAUUUUUAAGAUUCCAGUCUGCUCCCCCCCCCCCCCCCCCGUGGAUGCCCACCCAGCCUUGGCAUCUGUGGUCCUCAGGGAGAAGAACUGGUGUGUAUGUCUGUGUAUGUGCCCAUUAUUCCCUGCCCUUUUCCAUUUAGGCAGUACUGGCCACCUCGGCAUCACAGAACCCAUAGACGUCGGAAGAGGCUGUAGCUUGUUAUAUGCCGAAACCAUUAUUAAAAGGAAAAUAAAGUUAGUAAAGACAGGCAUGGAGGAAGCUAGGGUGGAGGCGGGGGAAACAUGUAAGCAGAUGGAGUUCCAUUUUAUUGGGGAGGAAAUGGAAAAUUACAACAUUUUGAUUUUCUUGGAAAAUUGAGUAGCCUGUCAGCCUACCCAAAGUAUAAAGAGCAAACUGGAUCACUCGUUCACCUACGAGGACAAAUGUCCUGAUUUGCGACCAGUCACCCCAUCUUCUUUGAUGAACAGAGCUUUCUCUUAAGUAAACAGUUAAGGCCUAAUUGGAUCAUUGGUAUGGUGUCACAGUAAUUAAUGUACAGUCUGGAGUAGUUACAUAUACCUCAGCUGGAGCAACACCAGGUGAGUGCUGCUGGGAAACCAAAGGCACCUGUGGGAUCCAGCCAGUACCACCAUUGUUCUUGGUGAUGAGGAGAAACAUGGGGAGAAACAUGAGGGAUGUCUCCAGGAUACCUCAUACGUUAUGUAGAGGUCAGAGCAACGGCAGAGGACUAGUUAUUAGGGCUUUAUUACCAUGCUUAGUUAAGAGGGGAUGAAAAUGGCCUCCAGGAGGGUAAGCCAUGCUCACAUUGAUUUUGUGUCUUGCUCAUUGGCUCAGACUGGGAUGCAGACACCAACUUGAGUUAGUUUAAACCUAACAAAGGAAUUCACUUAAGGACUCAGGAGGAAGGCAAGAGGAAAGCAGGUAGACAGACCUCUGGGGAGGAAUCCGCUCAGGUUCUGGAGUGGAAGCCGGCAGCCGGCUAGCCUCUCCUACUUCUGCUCCUCUUAGGACUAGCCUGAUUUGUUUGUCCGUAUCUGGAAGCUUCCUGACCCAUGUUCUAGUCCACGUUGAACACUCCUGUUCUCCAAAGGAAGAAAAGCCCUCAUGUCCAGUGCUCAGCAGUUUUCAGGGUAGAAAUAAUGACAGCUUGGAGAUCGUCCAAAGUUGCUUCCAAGUUGCCACCAUGAAGCUGGAGGUGAGAAGAGAAGCAGGGACCCCGGAACAUUGUUUCCACCUUGCAUGAGUGGAAGUAUGAAAAACCUCCAAAGCAUAGACCAUAGCAGAGUGGGGCUUGUUAUUAGGAGAUAAGGACCUCCAGUAGCUGCUUUUUUUUUGUUGUUGUUAAUUGAGGCAGGGUCUCAUGUAGCCCAAGUUGGCCUCGAACUCACUACGAGGUAAAGGAUGACCUUGAACUUCUGAUUCUCUUGCCUCUGCCUCCUGAGUUGUGAUUAUAGGUGAGCAUAGCCAUGCUCAGUUUGUGUGGUGUCAGGACUUGAACCCAGGAUUUCAUGCAUACGAGGCAAGCCCUCUACCAGUGAAGCCAUAAUUCCAGCCUGCUACCUUAGCUUAAUUAAUAUAAUUAAAGUUUGUAUAUCUAUCUAUCUAUCUAUCUAUCUAUCUAUCUAUCUAUCUAUCUAUCUAUAUCUGUAUUAAAUCAAUCACUCGUUUUCCAUGCUGAAUAUCAAGCCCAGGGCUUCUCAUAUGUGAGGUAAGUACUGUCCCAGAGCCAUACCCCAGCAAGCUGGUUUUCAUGCUCAUGUUGACGAUUUCAGACGAGAACUCCAGACAGUUUAAUAAUUGGCUCUUUGGACUGGUCUGCAGGAGCUGAUUGGAGCACACUGCUGUUUUCUUCCCACUUUGGCAGCUCUGAGCGAUUCCCUAAAAGCCUCAUUUUUAUCUUUCACAUUUUAUGUCCUGUUCAUCAUUAUCUCCAUUUUGCAGAUUGGGAAAAUGAGGCCCAGAGACCUUUAGUUACUUAAAGUCACACAGUUAGUCAACUGCUGAGCAGAAAUUCAGAUUGGGACCCAUCCUUUGCCUCAAAGCUCUCUUCCCACCAGACAUCGUGUCCCGCUGCUGGAAGAAUUCAAAGUCAGGUGCUUAAAUAACAAACUUCCGGAGCCCGAGGGGUCGAAGCACUUGGGACAGAGAAAAGACACAGGUUUGUGUAAGAUUACUAGAAUAAAGCCAUGAUGUCAUUUUUGCCCCCGAAUCCGAAUCUCAGGGCAACCAUUUUCUACCUUCUGGUCUCCAGGGGCAAGAAGCCUGUAUCGACUUAUUGUAAUUUGGGGUUUGCCACAGCUCCGGUAGAACUGAAUAGGGGUUCGGAUGCUCAUUUCUACCCUGCCCAUUGUUGGUCAUCCCCCAGCCACUUUGUGCUCUUCUGCCCUCAGGUACUGGGUCCAGUUAAUUCUUCCUGCAAUUAGUAUUCAUGGUCAGCUAAGCAGAGCUAAUACAACAAACCGGCUUCCUUUGAAGGUCACAUUACAUGUCUCUGAGCUCCUGCGGGCAGGCGCCUUGUGAAUGAGAUAUUCUCAACUAUCCUAGGAAUUUAAUUUUCCUGUUUCUAGAUUUCCAAGUCUACCUAUUGAAUUCUUUCCUGUGAUUCCCUAGAAAGCCCGAAGAGACAGCCAGCCAGACAAGAGCAGAGUCAAACUGUUGUUAGCAUCUAAAGAUGUUUCUUCCCCUGGUGGGACAGGGUGGCCGAACAGGUCCCUGCUUGUCCGAGAGUGGCUAGAAAAUUAUACAUAUAUUGUUUUUGGGGAAAGGCUGAAUUCAGAUUAUUUCAAAACAAUUUGCAACCAUUUCAGGUAAUUUCUUGGAUAACAGAAGCAACAAGAAAUAUCCUUUAAAAAGAAUUUAAAAAGCAUAUUUUUAGAACAGCAAAGGGGACCUCAUACCAAAUGCAUGAUGCCAGUUUAUAAUACUUCAAAUGGUCCAAAAUGGUCAGAAAAUUCACUUAGCUGCUUUGGAGAAAUUCUAAUGUGGCUGAAAUGAUGACACAAGCCAGCCAAUUCCAUCCUGGGAAAGAAGGUCAACACAAUAUGUCUACUGGGCAGCAGUUAGGAUAGCCUGACAAUGUUGUUUAUCUUAUUUUCCUUCUUUUUAUAGUUAAACACAGCAUCAGUUUUAAUUUAUGUUACUUGAAGAAACAAAUCUAGGAACACAAUAACUUCUGGCUUUUGUUGUUGUUUAAGACACCAUUAAUUCAUAGCAGACUUGGUUUAAAAUUUUCCCUUUCUCAGAUUUUAUAUUCUCUCUCUCUCUCUCUCUCCCUUUUUUUUUUUUAAAGAUUUAUUUAUUGUUUUAAGUCAUUUAUUUAUUAUAUAUACAGUAUUCUGCCUGCAUGUACGCCUGCACACCAGAAGAGGGCACCAGAUCCCAUUAUAGAUGGUUGUGAGCCACCAUGUGGUUGCUGGGAAUUGAACUCAGGACCUCUGGAAGAGCAGUCAGUGCUCUUAACCUCUGAGCCAUCUCUCCAGCCCUCUCUCUCCCUUUUAAUACAGGGUUUCACUAUGUCACUCAGUCUACUCUAGAACUCAUGAUUCUCCUGCCUUAGCCUCCUGAGUGCUGGGCUUACAAGGCUUGUACAAUUAGGCUUGGCUUUAUACUUUCUUCUUCUUCUUCUUCUUCUUCUUCUUCUUCUUCUUCUUCUUCUUCUUCUUCUUCUUCUUCUUCUUCUUCUUCUCUCCUCCUCCUUCUCCUCCUUCUCCCUUCCCCCUCCUUCUCUUUCUCCUCCUUCUUCUCCUCUUUCCUCUUCCUCCUCUUCCUUUUUCUUUUGAAAUUGAUACACAGCAUUUUGGAGCCAGCAAGUCUUAUGCCCAUAAGAUAGUGUUUUCCAUUUUGCUUUGGCCACUAGGAAGCUCUGGAUGGAUUCUGGUGGUCUAUAGGCCUCCCUGGUACCAAGUCACCUAGACCGCUCCUGCCUCUGGACUCAGGUUACCUUAUUCUCUCUUACUUGUUACAAAUGUGUGUUGGUUCCUGGAAGCUGCCUUUCACUCUUUCACGUCUGAAACAAAGGAGGUAACACGAACAGACUGUGAGAAAGGUAGGGGUGAGGCUCUGCUUUCUUUGGGGUGGGGUCUCCAGUGCUGUCCAAAUCUCUGCUUCGUUUCAGCUUAUCCCAGGACCCUACCCCGUGUCAGGCCGUUCCAUGUCCAGUGGGGAAGGCAGCACAAAGACAAAGCUGAUCUCCCUGGAGGCGCUUCUUCUCCACCUGACACCCAGAGAUGUCAUCCCCUUGGAAGAUAACUGCUGAAUCGCAUCUCUUUCCUUGCUUGGUCCACAUGCUGCCCUCACCUCCAGAGUGAGUCAGGGAGUCACAUUGGAAAACAUCCGUUUCCUCUGAAGGAUUCUACUGUAAGAAUGCCAUAGACCCACAACUGCGUCUGCAAGGAAAAGCAAAGCAGAACUCUCUCUUCUACAGUCUGCUUAGCUAAUAAGAUUCCUAAACAAACAUAUGCCUAGAAAGCACUCUCACACACCAAAGGCCCACAGCCUUUCUCCUGCAGAGCACUGCAGAUGUGCAGGCCCUGCAGCUGCCUGUUGUUUCUAGAAAAGAGAAUAAAAGGCGGUUCCUGUCCUAAGGUUCUUCUCAAAAGGCGUUAGGACAGCAGACAUUUCUGACAUGUCAAGCACAGGUGAUUAGAGCAGGCCUAUGUAAAUCAGUUAAUAUCUGUAAUUUCCCUUGUUCUACAAUGCUAUUAGUUAUUUCAAGGGUAAAAAAGGAUGUUUUAGUUAAUUUUUUUGAAUCUUACUAGGUACCCGUAGCUUAACUUAAUGAUUUGUAUAAGUGAUAGUAAUUGCUAGGACUACGGUCGAGUAUUAUUAGCUAUAAAAUGAACAUGGUUAUAUGUUCAACAGAACUAGCAAGGGACAGAAAUGCAGUUGUAUCCAAGAGAAAAUAAUUACAGCAAUAAUCAGUGUAAUUCAUGAUAAUGGCUGAAUUGAAUUUCACACCAUAGCUCCAAGCACUUACAUUUAAUGAAUGUAGUUUGUGCUUGUUGACUAAAAAGGUUUUUAGCAGAAAAUCGAUAAUGUAACUUCAGUGUUUCUAAUUGCGUUUGCAAUUAUUUUUUUUUAAAGUAGCAGUUCAAUAAGGAUUUUGUAGAGAAAAUUGAGGUAUGUGAGUGCCGUGAAUGCUGGUGUGUUAAUUACUCUUCCUGUACAUUAGUGCUGCAGUGCCUUAAUAUCUAUUUAUUACAACAUAUUGAUUAAAAUGGAUUUGUAUUCAAUUUUAAGGCUAGCUAAUGUAAUGGACAUUGAGACUUUUCUGGAAGCAUUGGCUGGGAUUACAAGUCACUGGUGUAAUGAGGCUUCUUCCAAGAGGCGAUUUCAGAACCCAUUGGACAAAGCGAGUGGUGGGGCCAAGUGCAGGGGGGGCCAGAAUGUGCACUAGAUUCCACGGAGAGUGGCAAGGACAUGUGGCCCCAGACACAUGGCGACAAGUCACAGAGCCCCACUUGGGAUAACCGGUUUAUGUGUGUGUGUGUGUGUGUGUGUGUGUGUGUGUGUGUGUGUGUGUGUUUCUGAGUCUGAGGAUGCCAGGAUCCCUCAGGGCAAAGCUUUUUGGCAGAGUAUGUUCUUACUUUGGAGAAACUGAGGCACUUUGUCCUGCUUCAGCCUCGAGAUCUUGGAGGAAGGAGGUGCACUGGCUUUACGUAGACACCACAUUUCUGGUUCCCACCAGUGUAAGGUGGACCAGCAUUCUUUGCUUGACUGUGACUCAUUUAAAUAUUAUCAUUCUCAUGGGUUUCACUGGAGUUGCUUACAGGAGUAGAGGUGAGGGGGUUUUUGUUUGUUUGUUUGUCUUUUUGUUUGGUUUCUUUUUUUGUUUGUUUGUUUGUUUGUUUGAGACAGGGUUUCUCUGUGUAGCCUUGGCUGUCCUGGAACUCCUUCUGUAGACCAGGCUGGCCUUGAACUCACAGAGAUCUGCCUGGCUUGGAAUAAAGGUAUGCACUACCACCACCCAACUAAGGUGAGGGGUUCUUUAAAAGCAUGAGUGCCUUGCUCUUGUCUACACCUCUGAAUAAAAUCCCUCUCCCUGAACAGCUUCAGGGAGAGGUGGGUCCUUGAGGGCUCCUCCCUGCCUCUGAGACAGAAUGAUUUAAUAUCCUUGGCCAAAACUAAUACUGUUCCAUGAGCAUGGGAGAUCUUUCCAUCUUCUGAUAUCUUCUUCAGUUUCUUUCCUCAAAGACUUAAAGUUUUUUCUAUACAAGUUCUCCCCUUGCUUGGUUAGACUUAUUUUAUAUUAUUUUAGGCUAAUGUGAAUGGUGUUGUUUUCUUGAGUUCUUUCUCAGUCCAUUUGUCAUUUGUAUAUCAGAGGGCUACUGAUUUUUGUGAGUUAAUCUUGUAUCCAGCCACUUUGCUGAAAGUGUUUAUCAACUGUAGGAGUUUCCUGGUGGGAUUUUAGUGUCACUUGUGUAUACUAAUCAUAUCAUCUGCAAAGAACGAUAUUUUGACUUCUUCCUUUCCAAUUUGUAUCCUCUUGAUCCCCUUCAGUUGUCUUAUUGCUCUAGCCAGAACUUCAAGUACUAUAUUGAGUAGAUAUGGAGAGAGUGGACAAUCUUGUCUUAUUCCUGAUUUUAGUGGAAUUGCUUUGAGUUUCUCUCCAUUUAAUUUGAUGUUGGCUAUAGGCUUGCUGUAAAUUGUCUUCAUUUAUUUUUUCUUUUUCCUGGUUUUUUGAGAUAGUGUUUCUUAAUGUAGCAUUGGCUGUCCUGGAACUUGCUCAGUAGACUAGGCUAGACUUGGUAAAUUGCCUUUAUUAUGUUUAGGUAUGCCCUUUGUAUUCCUAAUCUCUCUAAGACUUUUAUCAUGAAGGGGUGUUGGAUUUUGUCAAAGGCCUUUUCUGCAUCUAAUGAGAUGAUCGUGAGUUUUUUUUCUUUCAG